AACGAACGCUGGCGGCAUGCCUAACACAUGCAAGUCGAACGAGACCUCCGGGGCUUGUGGCGCUCGUGUGCGUACCGAGUGGGAACUUGCCCUUAGGUACGGAAUACUUCACUGUAAGGGGUGCUAAUACAGGUUAAUGUCUUCGGACAAAAGAUUUGUCGCCUUUGGGUGGGCCGGCGUUGGUUUAGCUAGUUGGUAGGGUCAAAGCCUAUCAAGGCUACGUUGCAUAGCUGUUCUGAGCGGAUGCUCAGCCACACUGGGACUGAGACACGGCCCAGACUCGUGCGGGAGGCGGGAGUGGUGAAGAUUGGACAAUGGGCGAAAGCCUGAUCCAGCAAGGCCGCGUGAGGGAUGAAGGCCUUAGGGAUAUAAAGCUCUGUUACCCGGGAGGAUAAGGACAGUACCGGGAGAAUAAGCCCCGGCUAACUCCGUG
rnacentral:rRNA from 1 species